GUCACGCCCCUUGGCGCUUUGUUUUCGGCAAAUCCACUAUAUUUAGGUUUAGGAAAGAACUACAUGAUAGGGCUUAAAACUGCUACGUUUGUACAGAGAAAAUUACACUGAAUGUUGUGAACACGGGACACGAACACACAGCUGAUUGUUACGUUUAGGAAAC